ACCCAUGCUGCAAACCGCUCCCACCCUUGCUUUUUCUUAAGCUAUUCUCUACUCCUUCUUCUCCUCAUUGCCAAAUCUUCCUCGAAGGGCCUCAGCACUAGCUGCUCUGUCAGCAUGGAAUGUUCUUUCCUGACAGACUCCUUAUCAGUUCCUUGCCAGCUACACAGAGAGACUUCCUGACCCUCAUCCUCUCUAAAGCUGACUCUUGUCCCACACUACCUCACAUAUAAACAGCACCCUGCUUACUUUCUUCGCUAUAUUCUGUCGUCAUUAUCUUAAUUUAUUCCUUUGGUAGUUAUAUGUCUACUCAACUAGAGGGUGAACUCCAUGAGGGACUGCAACCCAGGAUUGCAUUGAGUGUGAAGAUACAAUUUUUACAGCAUCACCAAAAAGCGUAAGAUUAUUUGGAUGGAGUCUCGCUCUGUUGCCAAGGCUGUAGUACAAAUGAUGUGAUCUCAGCUCACUGCCAACCUCUGCCUCCCAGGUUCAACGGCGAUUCUGCCUCAGGCUCA